rnacentral:rRNA from 1 species
GAUGAACGCUGGCGGCGUGCCUAAUACAUGCAAGUCGAGCGAACAGACGAGGAGCUUGCUCCUCUGACGUUAGCGGCGGACGGGUGAGUAACACGUGGAUAACCUACCUAAAAGACUGGGAUAACUUCGGGAAACCGGAGCUAAUACCGGAUAAUAUAUUGAACCGCAUGGUUCAAUAGUGAAAGACGGUUUUGCUGUCACUUAUAUAUGUAUCCGCGCCGCAGUAGCUAGUUGGUAAGGUAACGGCUUACCAAGGCAACGAUGCGUAGCCGACCUGAGAGGGUGAUCGGCCACACUGGAACUGAGACACGGUCCAGACUCCUACGGGAGGCAGCAGUAGGGAAUCUUCCGCAAUGGGCGAAAGCCUGACGGAGCAACGCCGCGUGAGUGAUGAAGGUCUUCGGAUCGUAAAACUCUGUUAUUAGGGAAGAACAAAUGUGUAAGUAACUAUGCACGUCUUGACGGUACCUAAUCAGAAAGCCACGGCUAACUACGUG